rnacentral:sRNA from 1 species
GGGAGCCGGCGGCUUGUGGACGUGAUGGAUGUGAACACCCAGAAGGGCACGGAGAUGAGCAUGUCCCAGUUUGUGCGUUACUACGAGACGCCCGAGGCCCAGCGGGACAAGCUGUACAACGUCAUCAGCCUAGAGUUCAGCCACACCAAGCUGGAGCACUUGGUCAAGCGUCCGACUGUGGUAGACCUGGUGGACUGGGUGGACAACAUGUGGCCCCAGCAUCUGAAGGAGAAGCAGACAGAAGCCACGAACGCCAUUGCAGAGAUGAAGUACCCGAAAGUGAAGAAGUACUGUCUGAUGAGCGUGAAAGGUUGUUUCACUGACUUCCACAUCGACUUUGGAGGCACUUCCGUUUGGUACCAUGUUUUCCGGGGUGGGAAGAUUUUUUGGCUGAUUCCUCCAACGCUGCACAAUUUGGCGCUGUACGAGGAGUGGGUGCUGUCAGGCAAACAGAGUGACAUCUUUCUGGGAGACCGUGUGGAACGAUGCCAAAGAAUUGAGCUGAAGCAGGGCUACACAUUUUUCAUCCCUUCCGGUUGGAUCCAUGCCGUCUACACCCCUGUAGACUCUUUGGUGUUCGGCGGAAACAUCCUGCACAGCUUUAACGUGCCCAUGCAGCUGCGGAUCUACGAGAUCGAGGACAGGACGCGGGUGCAGCCCAAAUUCCGUUACCCCUUCUACUAUGAGAUGUGCUGGUAUGUCCUGGAGAGAUACGUGUACUGUGUGACCCAGCGCUCCCACCUCACUCAGGAAUACCAGAGGGAGUCGAUGCUUAUUGAUGCCCCGAGGAAGCCCAGCAUAGACGGCUUCUCUUCGGAUUCCUGGCUGGAGAUGGAGGAGGAGGCCUGUGAUCAGCAGCCUCAGGAGGAGGAGGAGAAGGACGAGGAGGGCGAGGGCAGGGACAGGGCACCCAAACCGCCCGCCGAUGGCUCCACUUCACCCACCAGCACGCCCUCCGAGGACCAGGAGGCCCUCGGGAAGAAGCCCAAAGCACCUGCCCUGCGAUUCCUCAAAAGGACUUUGUCUAACGAGUCGGAGGAGAGUGUGAAGUCCACCACAUUGGCCGUAGACUACCCCAAGACCCCCACCGGCUCUCCCGCCACGGAGGUCUCUGCCAAAUGGACCCAUCUCACCGAGUUUGAACUGAAGGGCCUGAAAGCUCUGGUGGAGAAACUGGAAUCCCUCCCGGAGAACAAGAAGUGUGUCCCCGAGGGCAUCGAGGACCCCCAGGCACUCCUGGAGGGUGUGAAGAACGUCCUGAAGGAGCACGCGGAUGAUGAUCCUAGUCUGGCCAUCACUGGGGUCCCUGUGGUGACUUGGCCAAAGAAGACUCCAAAGAACCGGGCUGUGGGUCGGCCCAAGGGGAAGCUGGGCCCGGCCUCCGCGGUGAAGUUGGCCGCCAACCGGACAACGGCAGGAGCUCGGCGGCGCCGGACGCGAUGCCGCAAGUGCGAGGCCUGCCUGCGGACCGAGUGCGGAGAGUGCCACUUCUGCAAGGACAUGAAGAAGUUCGGGGGCCCCGGGCGCAUGAAGCAGAGCUGCAUCAUGCGGCAGUGCAUCGCGCCAGUGCUGCCCCACACCGCCGUGUGCCUUGUGUGUGGCGAGGCGGGGAAGGAAGACACGGUGGAAGAGGAGGAAGGCAAGUUUAACCUCAUGCUCAUGGAGUGCUCCAUCUGCAAUGAAAUCAUCCACCCUGGAUGCCUUAAGGUGAGUGGCCCAGUGGGGACAGGUGGUGCUGACGCUCUGGGGCAGGUAGGGUUGCUGGAGAUGCUGGUGAGAUGGUGGGAUGCAGGUCGUGCAGUGAAUUCCUGGAGGACCCCUGAGUCUGGGUGAUCCUCUGUGUCAAGGGAUAAGCCCGGGGCAAGGAGGGCCUGGAGUACCUCAGAGACCCAGUGUCAUCAAAGGAAUAAACACACCCCCACCUCCCAGGAUGUCAGAACCAGAGAGGGUUUCCAGAGACUCAGCGGAUGGCAAACACAGGCUGCUUGUUUGUAGCUGGGCCAGAGGGAGCGCCUCCAGGUGGCUCCAGGCUUCUGGGAGAACAAGGCCCCACACCACACUCCUUCCCCCAGCACCCAGUAGAGUCCUCUGCAGAGUCCUUUCUGCAUGCCAGGCGCUGAACUGGUGGCUUUACCUGGGUCAUACCCCCCCAGUGAGAUGGGCACACUAACUUUUAUGGCCGAGGACACCAGCCCACAGAGACGGAGUGUCUUGCCCAGGGUCCCAGAGAAGCAAAGGGGCUCAGCCUCUGAACCCUGGCCUGGAUCCACAGCUGCCCGUCUCUGCCAGCCUCUGCAGCUGUGUUUUCUUUUGGCUGGAAAUGGGAUAGACGUGACGUUGGGGAGGGGGUGCUGCUGCUUCUGGAAGACGUGGCGUCACAGAGCCUUGUGCCCGUGGGCCGUCUUCUCCGCCCGUCCCUCUUCUGAGUCCUGGUGUUCCCCGCAGAUUAAGGAGUCAGAGGGUGUGGUCAACGACGAGCUUCCAAACUGCUGGGAGUGUCCGAAGUGUAACCACGCCGGCAAGACCGGGAAACAAAAGCGUGGCCCUGGCUUUAAGUACGCCUCCAACCUGCCCGGCUCCCUGCUCAAGGAGCAGAAGAUGAACCGGGACAACAAGGAAGGGCAGGAACCUGCCAAGCGGAGGAGUGAGUGUGAGGAGGCGCCCCGGCGCAGGUCGGAUGAGCACCCGAAGAAGGUGCCGCCGGACGGCCUCCUGCGCAGAAAGUCUGAUGACGUGCACCUGAGGAAGAAGCGGAAAUACGAGAAGCCCCAGGAGCUGAGUGGACGCAAGCGGGCCUCAUCGCUUCAAACGUCCCCCGGUUCCUCCUCUCACCUCUCGCCGAGGCCCCCUCUAGGCAGCAGCCUCAGCCCCUGGUGGAGAUCCAGUCUCACUUACUUCCAGCAGCAGGUGCUCCCACGACGCAUGCCCUCCUGAGGCCCCGGGGACUGGCGAGUCCUGGGCUGUCCCCCACCCCACCCCGCUGGUCCUCCACCCCACUGCUGCCUCUCCUGAGGCUUCCCAGGUCUCGGCCCCAGAUCUCUGGCUCGUGGUUCUGGCUUGGGGCCUGGGAAGCUGUCUGUGCCUAGAGCCUCUGUUGGUUGGGAUGGAAGCUGUGAGUCCAGGGAACCUCUGAGGAGCCUGGUGGCCCUGCUCCACCCACGGGCCGUGCUGUCACCAGCCACAAGGUGGCGCCAGGAGUCUCUCCCAGCUCUAGCCAUUCCUGCUGGGCCGGGGAUUCCCACAGGGCUGUGCUCCAGAACUGGCUCCCAGAGCCGAGGAUGAUUUGAAUGGGCGGCUGCACAUCUCCGGGUCUGUGGGGUGGGAGGUCAGUUGGGUGGGAACAGUUCAACUGUACUCCUACUUCCAGCUUCUUCCUUGAAAGCUGCAGGCAGGGCUCGCCCGUCUGUCGGUCAGACGUGGAGAUGGCAUUUGUGGGGAAGGCCUCCCUCCAGCCCCUCCUCUGGAGACUGUGGACUCGUGGUGGGGUGGGGUGUCGAGGAGACCAAAUCCCACGAGCCCGGGGAGCAAGCUCUGCGUCCUUUCUUUUUCGUGACAGCUCAAACCUGGCAAAGAAGAUAAGCUUUUCAGGAAAAAGGUACCAUCUUCCCCUCCCUCCUGUGCCCCAGGCCUGAGCGGUUAGAGCUGCACCGCAGCUCCCUGGGCCACAGUCCCGUGGCAGUGGGGCGGGAGGCCUUGGGCGGGUGCAGCCCUGAGCCCCAGAGGCUGACGCGUCUCCGCUCUCGCCCUCAGCGGCGGUCCUGGAAGAACGCCGAGGACCGCAUGGCGCUGGCCAACAAGCCCCUCCGGCGCUUCAAGCAGGAACCCGAGGACGAACUGCCCGAGGCGCCCCCCAAGACCAGGGAGAGCGACCACUCCCGCUCCAGCUCCCCCACCGCGGGACCCAGCACCGAAGGGGCCGAGGGCCCGGAGGAGAAGAAGAAGGUGAAGAUGCGCCGGAAGCGGCGGCUUCCCAACAAGGAGCUGAGCAGGGAGCUGAGCAAGGAGCUCAACCACGAGAUCCAGAGGACGGAGAACAGCCUGGCCAACGAGAACCAGCAGCCCAUCAAGUCGGAGCCCGAGAGCGAGGGCGAGGAGCCCAAGCGGCCCCCGGGCAUCUGCGAGCGUCCCCACCGCUUCAGCAAGGGGCUCAACGGCACCCCCCGGGAGCUGCGGCACCAGCUGGGGCCCAGCCUGCGCAGCCCGCCCCGUGUCAUCUCCCGGCCCCCACCCUCCGUGUCUCCGCCCAAGUGUAUCCAGAUGGAGCGCCAUGUGAUCCGGCCACCCCCCAUCAGCCCCCCGCCUGACUCGCUACCCCUGGACGAUGGGGCAGCCCACGUCAUGCACAGGGAGGUGUGGAUGGCCGUCUUCAGCUACCUCAGCCACCAAGACCUGUGUGUGUGCAUGCGGGUCUGCAGGACCUGGAACCGCUGGUGCUGCGAUAAGCGGUUGUGGACCCGCAUUGACCUGAACCACUGCAAGUCUAUCACACCCCUGAUGCUGAGUGGCAUCAUCCGGCGACAGCCCGUCUCCCUCGACCUCAGCUGGACCAAUAUCUCCAAGAAGCAGCUGAGCUGGCUCAUCAACCGGCUGCCUGGGCUCCGGGACUUGGUGCUGUCAGGCUGCUCAUGGAUCGCGGUCUCGGCCCUUUGCAGCUCCAGUUGUCCGCUGCUCCGGACCCUGGAUGUCCAGUGGGUGGAGGGACUAAAGGAUGCCCAGAUGCGGGAUCUCCUGUCCCCGCCCACAGACAACAGGCCAGGUGAGUUGCCAGGCUGGGGGUUUCUGUGGGGGUGGGGUGAGCGAGCUAGGCUGUUGGAUCUGCUUUUACCCUCAGACCCCAGCUGUUCCCCAAAGGACAUAGGGAUGAGUCUCUGCUGCCAUGUUCUCAGUUUGCUUCAGGCACAGAGGGGAUCUGGGAGGAGGCAGGGGCUCCUGUGCACACGCGAGACUCGCUCCUGGGGCUCCGCGUGCGUCUCACUGCUUUCCUGUUGACUCGCUCAUGGGGCUCUGCGUGUGUCUCACUGCUUUCUUAUUGACUCGCUCAUGGGGCUCUGCGUGCAUCUCACUUCUUUUCUGUUGACUUGCCCCUCGUUGGUUUCAAGCCUCCACUGCCAUCGGGAUCAGUGUGGUUGUGCAAGGGCUUCCAGGAUGGCACCUCCCCCUGGACUGGGCUGGACUGCCUAGGUCCGUGCUUCUCGCCAAGCCAUGGGGAUCGGAGAUGCUGCGCAGCCUCUGCACUGGUUGGCUGAUGACUACUGGGUGGAAUGUGGGCUUAGUGUUUCUAGGUCUUUUAGUUUUUCAAGAGAAUCUGAAAAUCUAAGUUUUGAUGUGGAGUCUGAUUUUUCACUGUUGGAAUUAUGAUUUUGGGAGGAAGCAGUUUAUAACUCAAUGAAAUCUGAGUGUUCUCUCUGGCUGGUGGGCCUUUUAGAGUGUCAUGUCAGCAUGACCGGGCCUCCUCGGUCAGAUUGACGGGUUGCCCCCUCCUUCCUGCCCCACCAGGUCAGAUGGACAAUCGGAGCAAGCUCCGGAACAUCGUGGAGCUGCGCCUGGCAGGCCUGGACAUCACAGAUGCCUCCCUGCGGCUCAUCAUCCGCCACAUGCCCCUGCUCUCCAAGCUCCACCUCAGUUACUGUAACCACGUCACCGACCAGUCCAUCAACCUGCUCACCGCUGUUGGCACCACCACCCGAGACUCCUUAACCGAGAUCAACCUGUCUGACUGCAAUAAGGUCACUGAUCAGUGCCUGUCCUUCUUCAAACGCUGUGGAAACAUCUGUCAUAUUGACCUGAGGUACUGCAAGCAAGUCACCAAGGAAGGCUGUGAGCAGUUCAUAGCCGAGAUGUCUGUGAGUGUCCAGUUUGGGCAAGUAGAAGAGAAACUCCUGCAAAAACUGAGUUAGUCCAAGGAUAAGUAUGUAAAUACGGGGCGGGCUCUGGGAGGGGAGAGACUUUACAAAAAUGAGGGCUUUUAUUUUCCAUUUGGAACGUGGGACAACAGACCACAACGCAAUUCCAUUUUGCAAGUCUUUCCAAGGGAGAAGCUGUUCAACCACCCGUUUGGGGGAUGAGUGAGCCGACACUUUCCUUUGGUCUUUCUAAAUCGUAACUGCACUGCUCUCUGGACCAUUUCUAAGGCGGCCUUUACAAGAAGACAUUCCUGUCGGAGAGGAGGGUGGACUUCGGAGAAAUUCUCAUACUGAAGCAUGAGCUUAGGAGUUUCUAUUAGUGGUAGUGGUGUUUUGGACACUUCAUUCCUUGCAACACCGAGGUUUUGGGUGUUGACAUAAAGUGGACCACACACCACAUCUGCUGCCGUCUUGACACUUUUUUUUUUUGGUUGGUUUUGUUACAUCUUACAUUAUGCAGAACUAUUUUUGUACAAAUUGUUUAAAAGUUAUUUAUGCAAGGUUUGAAUGCAUACCAGUGUUUUUAUUGUUUUGAGAUUGCCAAUUUUCCUGAUUUCCUUAAGGUAGGAGAGAAUUUAACGUGUACUUCAUCGACACAACCCAUCUACAAAUGUGCCCAGAUCUAACAAAGUAGGCUAAGACCUUCCACUUAAAAGCAUGUUUAACUGGAAGUUGAGAGUCUGCUUUGUACCUCAAGAGUUACAUGAGCAUGUUGUGGAUAAAUGUAAAUUAUAGUCAAAGUAAGAUACUCUGCCAAGUUUCCUCUGUAGAG